GACGAACGCUGGCGGCGUGCCUAAUACAUGCAAGUCGAGCGAGCGGACCUAACUGAUUUACUUCGGUAAUGACGUUAGGAAAUCGAUCGCCGGAUGGGUGAGUAACACUUGGGGAACCUUCCCCAUAGUCUGGUAUACCACUUGGCAACAGGUGCUAAUACCUGCUAAGAAAGCAGAUCGCAUGAUCAGCUGUUAAAAGUCGGCGUAAGCCUUCGCUAUGGGAUGGCCCCGCGGUGCAUUAGCUAGUUGGUAAGGUAAAGGCUUACCAAGGCGAUGAUGCAUAGCCGAGUUGAGAGACUGAUAGGCCACAUUGGGACUGAGACACGGCCCAAACGCCUGCGGGAGGCAGCAGUAGGGAAUCUUCCACAAUGGACGGAAGUAUGAUGGAGCAACGCCGCGUGAGUGAAGACGGUGUUCGGAUCGUAAAGCUCUGUUGUUGGUGAAGAAGGAUAGAGGUAGUAGCUGGACUGUAUUUGACGGUAAUCAACCAGAAAGUAACGGCUAACUACGUG
rnacentral:rRNA from 1 species